rnacentral:rRNA from 1 species
UACGUAGGGGGCAAGCGUUGUUCGGAAUUACUGGGCGUAAAGGGCGCGUAGGCGGCCCUGCAAGUCGGGGGUGAAAGCCCGAGGCUCAACCUCGGAACUGCCUUCGAUACUGCGGGUCUCGAGUCCGGGAGAGGUGAGUGGAAUUCCUAGUGUAGAGGUGAAAUUCGUAGAUAUUAGGAAGAACACCAGUGGCGAAGGCGGCUCACUGGACCGGUACUGACGCUGAGGCGCGAAAGCGUGGGGAGCAAACAGG